rnacentral:rRNA from 1 species
ACGAACGCUGGCGGCGUGGAUAAGGCAUGCAAGUCAAACGGGUCCGACGCAAGUCGGACCAGUGGCAAACGGGGUAGUAACACGUGGGUACAUACCUUGAAGUCGGGCAUAACCAGCCGAAAGGUUGGAUAAUUUCCGAUAGUUCCCGUAAGGGUAAAGUCGUAAGACGCUUCAAGAAUGGCCUGCGGGCUAUCAGCUAGUUGGUAGGGUAACGGCCUACCAAGGCGAUGACGGCUAGGGGGGGUGAGAGCCCGAUCCCCACCAAUGGUACUGCGACACGGACCAUACACCUACGGGUGGCAGCAGCCGAGAAUAUUCGACAAUGGGGGAAACCCUGAUCGAGCGACGCCGCGUGCAGGAUGAAGUUCUUCGGGAUGUAAACUGCUUUUAUAGGGGAGGAACGCAAGUGACUGUACCCUAUGAAUAAGGACCUGCAAAUCUCGU